rnacentral:lncRNA from 1 species
AGGUCAUUCAGCUCGUACACCGGACCCGCUUUCCGUUUGAGCUGCUGUUGUUUCGGCUCCGUUUGCGAGCUGAACCCUCUCUCGGGUCUCGGUCACUGUGGUUGAUCACACAGACAAGCUAACAUCCUACAGUCACUCAGCAACUGAGCUGCCUGCGCUGAACCACAUUUGAUACCCAUCUUUUUCUUCGGCCUGCAGUUCAAGUGCACUGAAACCACCACAAUGAAAAAGCUCAUUUGGCUUACUUAAAAUUGGAAGUGGGUCAGUACAUUUUCAAAUAUCUGAUUUAGACAGUAAAAAUCUGAAAAGAUGUUUCACCCACUAAAGAAAUCACUAUUUGCUCAACCCUACCUGCUCGAGUCACCUCUAGACACUAAGUAGUUGAUUUGUAUCAUUACAUGAGACUUAGACUGUGAGACUUAAUAUUAAACUUUAAAGGAAAUGUAGCAGAAACUGAAUUAUUGAAUUAUCAACAAAUUUACAAAAUAUUUUCUGGAUUAAUUAAUUUAUUGUUUGAGAGAUUAGAAAAUAAUGCUGCAAUAAAUGUCAAACCAAAAUUUCAGUAUGUUUUCAGGUGAUGAAGAUACAAAACUGAUGAAACGAGAUAUUCUGUUAAUUUAUGUUUAUUUUUGUUAAUUUAGAUUUAUGUCAUGAUGAUUGCCUGGAUGAUCUAUAGAAAAUCACCAAGAUGUUAAUUAUAUUUCUUUCCCUUUAUAAAUGUUCUUCCUAGAGCUGCGUCCCCCCCACUGUAGUCCGUAAUGGACUGGCCUGAGGUCUCGCUACAAACAAGUGGCUGCUGGAAGAGAGUAGGUGAGUUGUGUUUAGUCUCUUUGCCAAAGAAAUUAGGCAAAGUUAAAAAGAUGUUUGGUGGCUAGUACUAUGGUUAGAACCCUAUAUGUACUGUUGAUGAAGUUAGGUGCUGUUCUGAGCAUUAUUUGUGGCUAUAGAGUGGCGUUUUGGUUGAGGUUUGUUGAUGGCUCUUCUGAUCGCUGUCUAUUGCUAUCGUGCGGUCGUUACUAAAGCAAGCAGUCGGCAACAUUCAUCUCUGGAGGGGGUGUCUAUACUCGGUGUUAUGGUGUGUUUGACCCUAAAUUAAUUUCACGCCGGAAUAUCCCUUUAAUGUCAUGAUGGUAAUGAAAUAUUACUUUGUUUGGAAAAUUAAUACAUACUCAAGCAUACAGUAGCAUCAGUUACUGAGAAAUAUUAGGGGCUGUAAACUGUUAAUGAGCCAUCUAAAAUGAGUGUUUAGUUUCUACAUCAAAACAACAUUUUCUCACCCAUCAUCAGACAAUAUUGGACGAGUAAGCCAACAAUAAAGUCUAGAAUUUGGAGAGGUAAUACAGCUGACCUCUGCAUCUUAAGCUACAUUCCCUUACAAAAAUAGUUUGUGUUUGAACUGCAUGCUGUAUCACAUUUACAGGAAAAAAUUGCUAUUCUAUCAGUAGUAUUUGCCAGUGUAUGUGCUGUAGUCUCUGCUUUAAAAGCAAAUGUCAAGAGUUCAAAACUGAAUAGGAAGCAUCACAGUCUCAACUCCCCAGCCAAGUCUGUCUUUGAGAUACUCAAGCUUAGUUUAUAUUUGUGUUGAAGUUUGGGUGUAUUACUGUUGGAGCACAGAUUAAGCAACUUCUGCAGACUUUCCCAGUGUCUCUAAAUGUCAGACUGUCUUUAUUUUACCUGUAGUGGGUUUGCUAUCUUCUUCCUCAGCACCAUCUUCCAUAUUUAGUCACUCUGAUUGGAGCCCUCUAGCUUCCUGAGGUGCCAGUGAUGGAAAGGCAGUAAGGCGUGCGUUAGAAAAUGUGGGGAUGACACCUGCAUCUAUUUAUCAUGUGGAGUACAAUAGCACACCUUGAGAGGCAGCCAGAGCUUGUUUUCUCACUGGUUCAGAGUUGAAACACUACUACACAGCGUCAUGAUAUGUUCUUGUUGGUUUAGUUUGUUCCUGUGUUUGUAAAUUAGUUUUAUUUUCUGUGUAUUUUUCCUAGUGUCUCUGUUCCUUGUUGUUCUUGUUCCCCUGUAUUCAUAUUUCUUAUGUUCCUGUUCCUGCGUUUUACUGUUUUUUGUUUCUUAGUUCAGUUUUUAGUGUUUCCUGUUUUAUUUUGUAAUAGUCAGUCCUUGUGUCUUAAGUCUGGUUGUACUUCCUUAGUUUUCCCGCUUUUGUUACUUACUUACCUGUCCAUUUUCAGUGCUUCAGUGUUUUUUUUUCCUGCUUCUUGUGUUAUUGGUUUUUGCAGUUUUUUAUUGCACUUGUAAAGUAUUUUUUUUCCCUUUGAAACCCUUAUUUUUGAAAUAUUUUUUGAAUCUGCAUUUUAGAUCCCUUUUGCCACGUGACACACAGAUUCAUAUGUGGGCAGAAUCAAAUUAAUUGUGCCCUGUCCAUGCCACUAACUUUGAGGUAGCCUGACACAUAAUGUGUGUGCACGCAUGUGACUGUGAGCAUAGGUGUGAAUGUGUGAUAGCAGGAAUUUUUCACAAUAAUUAUGAUGACUCAUCAAUAUUUAUGUCAAUAUCUAAUACUGCCUUAUCAAUUAAAAAUCUCAUGUCAUGAUGCCCGGAGUAGACUUUUGAGGUUGUUGAAUUUGACUUUAAAUGUAAUACCAUAUCAUAUUGCAUUGUAUCAUAUUGUAUCAUAUCUUAUAUUGUAUUGUGCUGUAUAAUAUUGUAUUGUAUCUUAACAUGUGUCAAAUCGUAUCUUAUUUUAUUGUUUUGUGUCUCAACAUAUCAUACUGGGUUGUAAUAUAUCUUGUAUUGAACCACAUCAUCUUGUGUUGUGUCAUAUUGUAUCGUAUCACAUUGUAUUGAAUUGUAUUGUAUCCUAUUGUAUGAUUUAUCGUCUCAGAAUAUAUCAUAGUGUAUCAUGUCAUAAUGUAGUGUAUUGUAUCUUGUCAUAUCAUAUUCUAGUUGUGCUUGUGGCUCCUGUCAGAUUACUGAUGCAAAAUUUAGUUUUCUUUCCUCACUCAAAAUUCCUCUUAAAAGACUACAACGUUUAUCUGUCAUAUUUUUACAUAGCUUUUGACAUAGAUUUUUUACAGAGUAAAAUGAUCUUGUUGGUGUUUUAAUGAAACCAGAGUCCAUUCUUUGUUACACAGUGUUCUUGCUGAUUUUUGCAGCAAAUCUGUUGCUUUCAUCUUGUGUCUUAGAUUAUACUGAGCAUAGAAUUUAAUUAAAAAAAACUUACGAGAUGUCUGGCCUGCCACUCAUUAGAACUCAAUAGAAAAGCCAUAAAGCUAGUUCAGCAAAUGCUUGUUAAACCAUAAUUGAUCAAAUAAAUCUCCCCCAGUAUACAGGAAUUUUAGGAGUUUACAUCUGGUGUUUGAGGGGGACAGGUUUUCACCUGACCUGUAGUGAAACCAGUAGUUGAAUCAGAGUAGGCUACAGCAACUGGAAGUGUGAAGAAGAGAAAAAGAAAACCAAGGUCCUCAGAGAAAGGAUUAUAGUCACAACAAAACAGGUAAUCUAUGGCAAGACAAAUGCAUGUAACCACAGGGAAGCUUUCCCACUGUAAAGUCAUAUGCCAUAACAAAACAAAUUGACAAUGUUUUAGAUAGUUUGAGUGGAAAGGGAAGACUGAAUUUCCACACUGCAAGUUAAAGGUGCUCUGGUACAAAAGCCAUGUUCACAUUCAUUAAUUCUGAACAAAAACACAUUGUGUAUGUCCUUGAAGUCUAAACACGUUCAAUUCUCUUUUUUUCACUCUCAUAAAAUGUUCAGUAAAGGCGAUCUCUAUUAGGAAAAUGCUUUGUGUAGCUGUCAACCAUUUUUACUUGCAGUUUUCCUUUUAUUUCCUUUGUGAGCACCUGCUGAGGUUGUAGUUCCUUGUCUGUCAGUCAGAUGAAUAGUGUUAAACACGAUGUCAAAGUUUCCCACCGGAAUUUUUUUCAUUUAUUUUUUAUGAGUGGAUCUGUUCCGUUUGUGUCAUGGUGAAACAGAAAGCAUCGCUCAUUUUUACACUGUUUAGGAGAUUGCAGCGAAUUUAGUUACUUGUUGUAAAUAAACUAUAUGACCAUA